AAUGCUGCUUGUGAGGACAUCACAGGCUAUCAUUGCAGGGGACGGUUGCACCACGCAAGGAGAUUUUUCCCCACCGGUGCAUCUCAAGGGAAAACAUCAGAUGUGAUGUUGAAGAAAGUCUCCGGCCAGACCAACAAGAGCGACAGGAUGUCCACCAAGAAGAUGGGAACUUGUAGUGUUAGGAGUUUUUUUAUUUGGCAGGCUCCUCCAUUUGGGCUCCUGAGAGGCGCAGCGUUCUAAGGCACAGCAUCUCAGUGCAAGAGGCAUCACUACAGUCCCUGGUUCAGAUCCAGGCUGUGUCACAUCCGCCCGUGAUUGGGAGUCCCAUAGGGCGGGGCACAAUUGGCCCAGGGUCGUCCGGGUUUGCCCGGGCUAGGCCAUCAUUCUCCUACUAGGUAUGAUAGGCUCCACUGACGAGGUCCUUCUGGAGGCAGCCGCUGGCUGUGUGGCUAACAUCCGCCGUCUUUGCCCUGGCCAAUAAGAAGGCAUGAUGCGGUUAACCACAACGACCUCCCCAGCAGCUACUGUGUCCUCAUCAUCACCUCUUAUUGCUGAUUGGAUGUCAUGGGUCCAGAUGUACUCCAGUAGCCUUCCAUCCACAGAGACUUUUCUCACUAUGCCUCUAUCCUUUCCACUCAUCCCACAGAAUAUAGGUGUGAUUCAAAUCACAUAUGAUGAGUGAUGCAUGUGUAUUGUGUCCCUUCUUCCUUCUGCCUCCAUCUGUCAUAGUGGGAAGCUUUUAGUCCAUGCUACCCAUGAGUUUAGAUCAUUAUUUCAUUUGGAGGUCAAGCAAACAUAUAGGACAUGCAAACAUGUCCUAUAUGAUACCCCAUCCCUAUACCUGA